rnacentral:sRNA from 1 species
ACAUUUGGCCAUGUAAUGGUAGUUGAAUAAGUAAAACUUGCAUUCCAACAAAAUAUUGACAGAGUAAAAUUAUAAGUUUGGAUAAGUAAAAAAUCAUAAUUUGCAACAGUUUUGUAGAACCCUAAUAUGUCACACUGUAUGAUAUACAUGACCUUUUUACAUUUUUGGGUGAUGAAGAUGUAUUUAUUGGGUCGGGUUCCACCAUCACCAAAAUUAUCAAAUCCCUCAACUCAUUCCUCAACUCAAAUCCUGUAAAGAGAAGCUAGUGCAUAAACUUGAGGUCAAACCUCAGAUUUGAGGCUGAAUAUUGACUUGAGGAAAAUUGGUGACAACGGAGCCUGGUUAAUCAAGUGCAGUAAAAUACUUGAAUUUGCUUUCUUUUAUGGAUUAUUGAAAUCAUUGGGGUACCAUUAGAAAUGCAUUGAUAUUUACCGGAAUGCAUACUAAAAGAAUGCAUACAACUUCAAUAGUGUUGGAUGUAAGAAUUUGAUGAAGCCGACGUCUAUAGGGCAAGAUUUAUUACAUAACCUUACAUUUCAUGAACAAAUAAUGUUACUUUAUAUCAAUUGAUGAAAUGGGGUAAAAGUUGCAAAAUUAAUGAUAAAAUGUCUUUGUACGGUAGUUUUAUGAUUAGCUUAUAGCAAUCACUUUUGAUAAAUUUAUUUUCCAAAUCCAACUACAUGUAUUAUUUAUUAUAAGCAGAAAAUACUUUUAUGGGUAAAAAUUGAACAUGGGCAUUUCAACUUUUCUACCUGAAGUAUUUUUUUCCUGUGAAUUGAACAUGCCAUUGCAGCUAAUUUCAUUAAUCCAGUUAUACUUUGUUUUAUUCAACAUUAGUCCCACCUGUUGGAUUUUAACAAAUUUGACAUCUAAUAUGGUUUCUCAGUUUAGAUUAAUAUCUUAUCUGCAGAUUAAAGUUUGAUAUUGUUUAUGUCAUUUACAAUUUAGAAAUAUUUAGUGAGUAAUUAAAAGAUGAAGGUGCAGGUCUGUGCAUUUUUUGGUUGUUCAUGUGAUAUUACACACAUUUUCUUCCAGUGUUAUUACAUGUGUAGUUAUGUUGAACAUGUACUUUUGUUACGUGUUCAUGUUAUUGAGAGAGAGAGAGAAAAAAAUAUUUAUGUUGUUCAUUUUUUUCGUAAAAUUUAUUCACUGAAGUUGUUUUAAAGAAAUUUGUAUCGCUGUAAGUUUGAG